GAUGAACGCUGGCGGCGUGCCUAAUACAUGCAAGUCGAGCGAACAGACGAUGAGCUUGCUCCUCUGACGUUAGCGGCAGACGGGUGAGUAACACGUGUAUAACCUACCUAUAAGACUGGUAUCACUUCGGGAAACCGGAUCUAAUACCGUAUAAUAUAUUGAACCGCAUGGUUCAAUAGUGAAAUACGGUGUUGCUGUCACUUAUAGAGGGAUCCGCGCCGCAUUAGCUAGUUGGUAAGGUAACGGCUUACCAAGGCAACGAUGCGUAGCCGAACGGAGAGGGGGAUAGGCCACCCUGGAACGGAGACAGGGACAAGACGACUGAGGGAGGCAGCAGUAGGGAAUGGUACGCAAUGGGCGAAAGCUUGACGGAGCAAGGCCGAGUGAGUGACGACGGUCUCCGGAUCGUAAAACCCUGUUAUUAGGGAAGAACCACUGUGUACGUAAACAUACAGGUAUUGACGGUACCUAAUAAGAAAGCAACGGCUAACUACGUG
rnacentral:rRNA from 1 species